rnacentral:rRNA from 1 species
AACGUAGGACGCAAGCGUUAUCCGGAUUUACUGGGCGUAAAGCGCGAGCAGGCGGCUCGACAAGUUCGCUGUGAAAGCUCCCGGCUCAACCGGGCGAGGCCAGUGGAAACUAUCGAGCUGGAGGGCAGUAGAGGCAGGCGGAAUUCCGGGUGGAGUGGUGAAAUGCGUAGAUAUCAGGAGGAACACCUGCGGUGUAGACGGCUUACUGGACCAUAACUGACGCUGAGGCACGAAAGCGUGGGUAGCAAACAGG